CUUGUUUAGGAGAAUUCAAAGCAGAAGAAAGUCAUCAAAGAAACUGAGAAAUAUCCUCCCACUUUGUUCUGAGGGUCUAAAUUAUUACUCUGGCAUUUUAAAUGACUUGGUUGUGAAAAAUAGGUUACUCCCAUUGAGUUGAUGACUAAAACAGAAGCCAAGAAGUGUGCCUACAGGAGGCUGGUGUGCCCCAGCCAAAUGUACGCCACUGUUCAAGACGCAGCUAAAGUCACCACGCGGACGGUAAGCGUGUUACAAAGAACUAGAUUUCUUUCUGGCAGCCGCAACUUGGUCGGAGUGACCACGCAGGAGUUGAAGAGCGCUGGCAAUGCGUGGUUCGGCGCGGGGACAUGGGCAGAAAACGGCCCGGGCCAUGAGAGCCGGUGGACACUCAACGGAGGACAGAGGCAGGGAGCUUUCCCGGAGAGAAAGAGGCGAAGUUGAGCUCGGGAAGGAGGCGAGCCGCACGCAGACGGAGAGAGGAGCCCAGGACCGUGACCUUCUGAAUCUACAAUAAUAAAAGACAUAAAGAGGACGGUGAGCCAGUGACGUCUGAACUCCGCAGCGUGGUCUCUCGAGGCUUAGAUGUGAUCAAGAUGGGUCUUAACUACCAUCGGUCCUAACAUCACCGCUGACAGACAAGCAGAUAGAAAUGAGACUCAGACAUACAUAGGGAUGCGAUGUGAAGACACCGGAGGAAGACAGAGACUGGCGUGAUGUUGUCACAAGCCCAGGAGCUACCAGGCCCUGGAUGGAGAGGGUCCUUCCAAGGGGCCGUGAGAUGGAGCAUGGCUUGCUUGGCAUCUUGAGUCUACCUCCCAGACUGUGAAAAAAUGAAUGUCAGCCACGCAGCCCACCCAGUUUUUGGCACUUGGUUCCUCCAGCUUAGAAAACAAAAACAUCGGUGCAAUUUUCAUCCGAUGUUACCGAGCUCCUACUGUGGACCAGGCACAGUGAUGAGCUCUGGAAAACAGAACCAGGACCAGGCCACAGGUUGACGCAAGCAAGCCCACGCUGCUGAGCCUCCUGAUGACGUUCCCGACUGGCCCAGGCCCCCAAGCCUUCGCUUCCCACACAGCCAUCUCAGAAGUAGAACCUGUAGGGACCAGAAGCCACUUGGGAGAUCCCCGGCCCACCCCCAUGGUUUUCCAAGUGUGCAGCUGGGGUCCAGAGGGGUCAUGCUGCUGAUGGAAAGUCGGCUUCGGACUCCCCAAACACCAUCUCACUCCCUGACUCUGAUUAAUUCAUGUUAUGAAUAAAUUCAACAAACAACAAAUGUUUGUCGAAUGAACACUAAAUUAUUAAUGACUGGUAAAGAGAAUGUGUUAUACCUCCCAGAGGUAUUGGAAUGUAGAACAAUGCCUUCACCCAGAGAAGUGAAUUUCUACUAGUGGAAUAUGGGACUGGGGCUGGGGGUGGGCGAAACAGGCCAGAGAGUUUGGGGAGGGCGGGCGGUGUCUUACGCAGACCCUUUCUCUCCAAUUCCUAAAGCCCCGACUCUGUCGGCCGGCACAGCGCAGGGCUGUCAGCGCAGGGCUGUCAGCCGGAGAGGAUUAUGGAAGUGGGCUGAGGAGGAGCUUGCCCUACUCUGUGCUCAGAGAGGUUGUGCAGGGCAUAACCAUGCCCUCUGGGAUGCAAAGGGAAGCCCUGGCCUCAUUAUAGGCGUGUACACGACUGCUGUUUUAAACUCCAAUACUGCUGAACAAUUCAGAAAUAGGUCCAUUAUAGGUCUGCUUUACCCCCAGGGCGUUAACAUAGGUCACUAGAACAUCCAAGAUUGCACAGUAAUUCAAACUCUUAAGAGGGGAAGGAAAUAAUCUCUUCACCAAUACCCACCCUUUCCCCAGCAGACCAGGGAGCGCCUCUUCAUUUCUGUAGUGCUUUGAA